AGUUUUGCUACUCCAGGUUUCUUCUGAUUUCCAUUUGCCUGGAAUAUGUUUUUCAUCCUCUCAUUUUGUCUGUAUGUGUCCCUAGAACACAUUUCUUAUAUUUUUUGUGGACAGCAUAUAUAUUAGUCUUACUUUUGUAUCCAUUCAACCAGUCUAUGUCUUCUGGUCAGAGCAUUUAAUCCAUUUACAUUUAAGGCAAUAAUUGAUAUGUGUGUUAUUAAUGCCAUUUUGUUCAUUGUUUUGGAUUUGUUUUUGUUGGUCUUUUUUCUUCCCUUCCUCUUUUGUUCUCUUGUGGUUUGAGGACUAUCAUUAGUGUUGUGUUUGAUGCUUUUUUAUUUGUGUAUGCAUCUGUUUUAGAUUUUUGGUUUUCAGUUCUCAUGAGGUUUUGGUAUUAGAGUGUGUGUACAUGUAUGUGUGUUCUGUGUUUGUAACCCCCUCAUUUCAUGAUUGCUUGGUUUGAUACCAUAUUUGGGUGCAGAUAUUUUCCUAUCUUUAUAUUUCCCUUUAUUGGUGAGCCUUCUCAUUUGUGAUUUUCUUGUUUCUAGUGGUGGCCUUUUCUUUUUCACCUAGAGAAGUUCCUCUAGCAUUUGUUGUAAAGCUGGUUUGAUGGUGCUGAAUUCUCUUAGCUUUUUGCAUGUCUAUAGAGCUUUUGAUUUCUUGGUCAAAUCUAAAUGAGAGCUUUGCUGGGUGGAGUAUUCUUGGCAGUAGGGUUUUUUUGCCUUUCAUCACUUUUACCAUGCCAUUCCCUUCUGGUCUGUAGAAUUUCUGCUGAAAAAUCAUCUAAUAACCUUUUUGGCAUUCUCUUUUAGGUUAUAUGUUGCUUUUCCCUAGCCAAUUUCAUUAUUUUCUCCUUGUCUUUGAUUUUAGUCAGUUUAAUUGUGUCUGGAGACGUUCCUCCUGGAGUUUAUUCUAUAUAGAACUCAUUGUGCUUCUUGGAUCUGAGUGAUUCUUUUCCUGUUUUCAGGAAGUUUUUGGCUUUGAUCUCUUCAAAUAUUUUCUCCAGUCCUCUCUUUUCUCCUUCUGUCACUUUUAUAAUGCAAAUAUUGUUGUGUUUAAAGUUGUCCCAGAGUUCUUUUAGACUGUUCUCAUUUCAUUCUUUUUUUCUUUAUUCUAUUCCACACCAGUAAUUUCCACCAGUCUGUCUUCCACUUUGCUUAUUUGUUCUUCUGCCUCAUGGAUUCUGCUAUUGAUUUCUUCUAGUGUAUUUUCCAUUUCAGUUAUUCUGUUUUUCAUCUCUUUUGUUCUGUUGUUCAUCUCUGUUCUUUAAAUCUUUGUUGUUGUUGUUGUUAAAUCUUUCUUAUCAUUUCUCGAUUUUUGCCUCUGGAUUUUUUCCAAAGUCUUGGAUCAUCCUUACUAUCAUAAUUCUAAAGUCUUUUUCAUGUAGGUUGCCUAUCUCCACUUAGUUGUUCUUCUGGGGUUUUGUCUUGUUUCUUCAUCUGGAGCAUAUUUAUCUGCCAUUUUAUGUUGUCUAGCUAUCUGUGUGUGUUGUCUCCUUUCUGCAGGCUGCAGGGUUGUAGCCUCUUUUGUUUCUGGUGUAUGCCCCCCAGUGAGUGAAGCUGAUACAGGGACUUGUAGCAGGCUUCCUGAUGGGAGGGACUAGUUAGUGCCUGCCCACUGGUUGGUGGGAAUGAGUCUUGUCCCUCUGGUAGGCAGGGCCAUGUCAUAGGUGGAUGUGUCCACAGAAGGACUUUAGGCAGCCCGUCUGCUGAUGGGUGGGGCUGUGUUCCCACCAUUUGUUGUUUGGCCUGGGGCUUAUCAGCACUGGUGCUGACAUGCUGUUGGGUGGGGCCAGGUUUUUCCAAAAUGGCAGCCUCCAGGAGA
rnacentral:lncRNA from 1 species